GACGAACGCUGGCGGCGUGCCUAAUACAUGCAAGUUGAGCGCUGAAGGUUGGUACUUGUACCAACUGGAUGAGCAGCGAACGGGUGAGUAACGCGUGGGGAAUCUGCCUUUGAGCGGGGGACAACAUUUGGAAACGAAUGCUAAUACCGCAUAAAAACUUUAAACACAAGUUUUAAGUUUGAAAGAUGCAAUUGCAUCACUCAAAGAUGAUCCCGCGUUGUAUUAGCUAGUUAGUGAGGUAAAGGCUCACCAAGGCGAUGAUACAUAGCCGACCUGAGAGGGUGAUCGGCCACAUUGGGACUGAGACACGGCCCAACCUCCUACGGGAGGCAGCAGUAGGGAAUCUUCGGCAAUGGACGAAAGUCUGACCGAGCAACGCCGCGUGAGUGAAGAAGGUUUUCGGAUCGUAAAACUCUGUUGGUAGAGAAGAACGUUGGUGAGAGUGGAAAGCUCAUCAAGUGACGGUAACUACCCAGAAAGGGACGGCUAACUACGUG
rnacentral:rRNA from 1 species